UUUUUUCUAUGCUAUGUAUUUGUAAAUUUUUUCUAACUCUAUUUUUUGGUAAUUGAUGUUCUAAUUGUACAAAUUGAAAUAGUAUUUUUAUUAAAUUAAAAUCAUAAUUUUGAAAGUCUUCCCAGUACCAGUCUUCUGGUAACAAGCUAAAGCAGAAGAGUAACCUUCUCUCUUGGAUCUUUCUCACUCUAGGAGUCAGAGUCAGCAUCCGGUAUAGAAGAUCUGUCUUCUUUUAAGGACCCGGAAUUCGGGAUUGGAAUUGAAUCUGUAAGUUACCUUUCCAGUCUUAAUUAAAUCCUUAAUUCGCCCGUACGGCCUAUCAGAAUGCUUGAUGAUAUUCUUUGAUGAUCUCACUCCAGGAAGAGUAAAGAAGUACGUGCUCGACCACUCUUUCGGUUUGCUUGCUUCCCUUUUUUUGUCCUUAGAUUCAUUUAUAGCAGGAUUGACACAUGUAAAAAUUUUUAUGCAGAUAUAAUUAUAGCAGUACAUAUGGGUUCUCAUAAUCUGAAACUACAAAUGAAAUAUAAAAAAGUUUUGUUGGAGAGAUUUUUACCCUGGAAUCUUGAAUAGUAUCUUUAUGAGUUUGAUGCUUGAGGAAUCACGAUGGUUGUUAGAGAUUUGUAGUCUUUUUGUUGUCAGAAAAAGUUUCAAUAACCAUGUUUUUUCUUCCAGGGUGAUUGGUUAUGAUAAGUGAAUUUGUAAAGUUUGUCUUAUGAAGAGUUUUAUAUAAUUUUAGUUGUUUGUAGAUAAAAGUUGUUUUAUAUGAUUGGGUUAGGUGAUUUUGUGGGUUCUAAAUAGUAUUGUAUUUGGGUUUCGUUGUGAAUGGAUGUCAGAAAGUAGUUUAAGGGAAUUAUUUAUGGUUUGAGUUGAGUGAGUAUUGUGUGUAU
rnacentral:lncRNA from 1 species